GGUCUGUUGGCUUGAGAGUGACUCAGUAAUCAAUUAAGGGGAGUCAAUACAUGAGCUAGGAAGAGGGACUUCUCUGAUGUAGGUGGAAUCAUUUCAUGUGAGUGGCUGUCUUUUAGACCUUUGCCUCACAGAGGACUCUAUUGGAUUUCUAGGAGAGAAGGCAAAACCAAAAUAGUUGUGAAAAAUAAUAGCACUUGGUGCAACUGUGUGAGUGAGUCUAACCAACCAGAUAGCCAGAUCUGAGCACUGGCUGGUAGAGAAGUGUCCUGAUUUUACAAGAGGCGAGCAGCCUUUGCAGACGAUAGCUAAGAAUGCUGCCGAGCUGCUCAAGGAGGAUGAGGAGGAGCUAGGGAGCUGUCGUCUUUCAAAUGAGGAAGCACCAAGAAGAAGCUCUCACCACUCCCGUCAACCAGCCAGCUUCUAUUCCCAGGGCUUCCCAGGUGGCUCGGUGGUAAAGAAUCCACCUGCUGGUGCAGGAGAUGCAAGAGAUGUGGGUUUGAUCCCUGGGUUAAGAAGAUACCCUGGAGGAGGAAAUGAAAACCCACUCCAGUGUUCUUGCCAGGGAAAUCCCGUGGACAGAGGAGCCUGGUUGGCUGCAAUCCAUGGAGCUGCAAAGACUUGGACACAACUGAGCACAGCACAGAGCUCAGGUACACACUCAGUGGUCUGUUCCCACCAUCGGAUUGCACUUCACUGCUGUCCAAGGCCAAGGCCACCACAGACUCUUCAGUAUGCUAGAUGCUGCAACAGCAUCUGCAGCAUCAGACUGAUGCCGAAGCUGAAACUCCAAUACUUUGGCCACCUGAGCCAUCAUCUCAGUGGACCCCCCACAUGAUGCUGUAUGCAAGAUGGAGACUGUCAGCUCACGUGCAAACAAGGAAAUAAAGUUGAUACAUCACUGGUGCAAGCGGGGCUAGGCUUCUGGUUUUUGUUUCCAGUGUGAUAUUCUUUAUAUAGAGAAAGCUGUGUCUCUACCUCAAGUUUCUAGAACUUCUCUCUGGAAGUCUAAGAAUGUAUUUUUAAAACAUUGAUUUUUGUUAAAAUGUCUUCUUAUUUUGCUUUUGAUUUCCCC
rnacentral:lncRNA from 1 species